rnacentral:rRNA from 1 species
GUCGAGAAUCUUCCACCAAUGCGCGAAAGCGUGAUGGAGCGACGCCGCGUGGGGGAUGAAGGCCUUCGGGUCGUAAACUCCUGUCACAUGGUCCUAAAACUCAGGGCUAAUACCCUUUGAGCUUGAAGUACCAUGAGAGGAAGCACCGGCUAAAUUCGUGCCAGCAGCCGCGGUAAUACGAAUGGUGCAAGCGUUGUUCGGAAUCACUGGGCAUAAAGAGCACGUAGGCGGCGACGCAAGUCGGUUGUGAAAUCCCCCGGCUCAACCGGGGAAUAGCAACCGAAACUACAUCGCUAGAGUGUGGGAGGGGAGAACGGAAUUCCUGGUGGAGCGGUGAAAUGCGUAGAUAUCAGGAGGAACGCCGGAGGCGAAAGCGGUUCUCUGGCCCACAACUGACGCUGAGGUGCGAAAGCUAGGGGAGCAAACAGG